rnacentral:rRNA from 1 species
CCUACGGGUGGCUGCAGUAGGGAAUAUUGGUCAAUGGAUGGAAGUCUGAACCAGCCAUGCCGCGUGCAGGAAGAAGGCCUUCUGGGUUGUAAACUGCUUUUGUCAGGGGAUAAAAUAACCUUGCGAGGUGAAUUGAAGGUACCUGGCGAAUAAGCCACGGCUAACUACGUGCCAGCAGCCGCGGUAAUACGUAGGUGGCGAGCGUUGUCCGGAUUUAUUGGGUUUAAAGGGUGCGUAGGCGGUUCUUUAAGUCUGUGCUGAAAUACUCUGGCUUA